CUGGAAAUGGCGGUGUGCGGUGGUGGUGUGCCUGUUGCAUUUGGGAUUUCACUGAAAGAAUAAGAAGGAAUCGACGAUGGACUGCUACGCAACUAUUGCACCACUGAAGGAUGUCUGUGUGCCGGUUUGUGCUCAGUUUCUCAGCCAGUGGGCCUGAGAAAGUGUGCCAGAGCAGUCUGUCGAGUAGUGCUCUUUGUUCUGGAAGGACGCAAGCAUUGCAAGGAGCCAUUUGACCUGCCGCCACACUAAUAUUGUAUUUGGCAAAGCCGAAAGCCUCUGCAAGCAGCCAGUCAUUCCAAGUCUCAACCAAUCCUUCCUCCAGUCAGCUAAUUUCUAGUGUCCAUGCGGAGAGGACUUGCGCAAGAGUGGACACUGGACACUAAAAAGGCGACAAGGACAGACGUAAACUUCCAACCGGUGUUCAUUACAAAAAGGUAUGUAUAUGUACUCUUGCACACUUGAUCAUAAUCUGUUACAAUCGUGCAAGUCAACAUGGCCAUCACAAAUAAACGAGCGCACCAAGGCCUAAGGCGGCUUCCUGCAUACAGACCCCAGAUAAUCAAAUUCUUUAACAGUCAGUGCUAUAGGGAUGGCUUGCUAACGCAGUUGCAUUCUACAAUAGCCGCUGCCUCAAUGAUGAGUCUAGUGUUUUCUUUCACACUGCUUGCUAUUAUUUCUGUUUUUUCAAACAGCCGAUGACAUUUGCAUUGGGAGCAAUGGAUUCCAAAGAAACCUUCUUUCCCUUUUUGUACU